GACAGAGGGUGCAACCGUUGCUCGGAAUCACUGGGCGUAAAGGGCGUGUAGGCGGGAAGGAAAGUCAGAUGUGAAAUCCCUGGGCUCAACCCAGGAACUGCAUUUGAAACUCCCUUUCUUGAGUGUCGGAGAGGAAAGCGGAAUUCCUGGUGUAGAGGUGAAAUUCGUAGAUAUCUGGAGGAACACCGGUGGCGAAGGCGGCAUCCUGGACCAUUACUGACACUGAAAAGCGAAAGCCAGGGGAGCAAACGGG
rnacentral:rRNA from 1 species